rnacentral:rRNA from 1 species
CGGCGGACGGGUGAGUAACGCGUGGGUAACCUGCCUCAUACAGGGGGAUAACAGUUGGAAACGGCUGCUAAUACCGCAUAAGCGCACAGUACCGCAUGGUACGGUGUGAAAAACUCCGGUGGUAUGAGAUGGACCCGCGUCUGAUUAGGUAGUUGGUGGGGUAACGGCCUACCAAGCCGACGAUCAGUAGCCGACCUGAGAGGGUGACCGGCCACAUUGGGACUGAGCACGGCCCAA